CGGUGUUCAACUGGCGUGUCCGCGGGACGUCCUGCCGGUGGGCUUAGCCCGCAAGGGCAGCCCAACUUCAAAUCCCAUCGCGGUGCUCUUCACUGAGUAUCGAGGUGGGCCGGCACGUUUACUUUGAACAAAUUAGAGUGCUUAAAGCAGGCUAAAACUUCGCCUGAAUACUGUGCAUGGUUGGUGCAUGGUGGUGCAUGGAGUAAUGGAAUAGGACCUCGGUUCUAUUUUGUUGGUUUUCGGAACCCCGAGGUAAUGAUUAAUAGGAACGGAUGGGGGCAUUCGUAUUGCGACGUUAGAGCUGAAAUUCUUGGAUCGUCGCAAGACGGACAGAAGCGAAAGCAUUUGCCAAAAACGCUUUCAUUGAUCAAGAACAAAAGUUAGAGGUUCGAAGGCGAUCAGAUAUCGCCCUAGUUCUAACCAUAAACGAUGCCAGCUAGCGAUCCGUCGACGUUCCUCCGGUGACUCGACGGGCAGCUUCCGGGAAACCAAAGCUUUUGGGUUCCGGGGGAAAAAUAGUUGCAAAGCUGAAACUUAAAGGAAUUGACGGAAGGGCACCACCAGGAGUGGAGCCUGCGGCUUAAUUUGACUCAACACGGGAAACCUCACCAGGCCCGGACACCGGAAGGAUUGACAGAUUGAGAGCUCUUCCUUGAUUCGGUGGGUGGUGGUGCAUGGCCGUUCUUAGUUGGUGGAGCGAUUUGUCUGGUUAAUUCCGAUAACGAACGAGAGUCUAGCCUGCUAACUAGGUGUAUUUUCGACAUCUCAAAGGUCCGUCGUCCCGGCCCGCGGGUCGUGGGCGUGCGCGAUUUUUACUGUCGGCGUACUAUCAAUUCUUCUAAGAGGGGCAGGUGGCUUCUAGCCGCACGAGAUUGAGCAAUAACAGGUCUGUGAUG
rnacentral:rRNA from 1 species